UACGAAGGGGGCUAGCGUUGCUCGGAAUCACUGGGCGUAAAGCGCACGUAGGCGGAUUGUUAAGUCAGGGGUGAAAUCCUGGAGCUCAACUCCAGAACUGCCUUUGAUACUGGCGAUCUUGAGUCCGGGAGAGGUGAGUGGAACUCCGAGUGUAGAGGUGAAAUUCGUAGAUAUUCGGAAGAACACCAGUGGCGAAGGCGGCUCACUGGCCCGGUACUGACGCCGAGGCGCGACAGCGUGGGGAGCAAACAGG
rnacentral:rRNA from 1 species